UGGGGAAUAUUGCACAAUGGGCGCAAGCCUGAUGCAGCCAUGCCGCGUGUGUGAAGAAGGCCUUCGGGUUGUAAAGCACUUUCAGCGAGGAGGAAGGUGGUGAGCUUAAUACGCUCAUCAAUUGACGUUACUCGCAGAAGAAGCACCGGCUAACUCCGUGCCAGCAGCCGCGGUAAUACGGAGGGUGCAAGCGUUAAUCGGAAUUACUGGGCGUAAAGCGCACGCAGGCGGUUUGUUAAGUCAGAUGUGAAAUCCCCGGGCUCAACCUGGGAACUGCAUUUGAAACUGGCAAGCUAGAGUCUCGUAGAGGGGGGUAGAAUUCCAGGUGUAGCGGUGAAAUGCGUAGAGAUCUGGAGGAAUACCGGUGGCGAAGGCGGCCCCCUGGACGAAGACUGACGCUCAGGUGCGAAAGCGUGGGGCAGCAAACAGGAUUAGAUACCCUGGUAGUCCACGCUGUAAAACGAUGUCGAUUUUGGAGGUUGUGCCCCUUGAGGCGUGGCUUCCGGAGCUAACGCGUUAAAUCGACCGCCUGGGGAGUACGGCCGCAAGGUUAAAACUUAAAGUGAAUUGACGGGGUCU
rnacentral:rRNA from 1 species